UGGUGGAGCGAUUUGUCUGGUUAAUUCCGAUAACGAGCGAGACUCUGACCUGCUAGUUAGCUCACUUCGUCCGAGGGCGUCGAAUCCGCCUCGCGCGCCACCUCGGUGGUGGGCCGCGCGGUAUCCCCUCGGGGCGCCGUUCGGUUCAGAUUUCAUCGCCUGGGCGUCGUAGGGGUAGCUUCGGCUCUCCGCUAGCGCCCCUUCCCCGGAGAUCCAUGUCGUUCGGGCGGAGGGGUCGAGCUU
rnacentral:rRNA from 1 species